AUUGAACGCUGGCGGCAGGCCUAACACAUGCAAGUCGAGCGGAUGAAGGGAGCUGGCUCCUGGAUUCAGCGGCGGACGGGUGAGUAAUGCCUAGGAAUCUGCCUGGUAGUGGGGGAUAACGUCCGGAAACGGGAGCUAAUACCGAAUACGUCCUGAGGUAGAAAGUGGGGGAUCUUCGGACCUCACGCUAUCAGAUGAGCCUAGGUCGGAUUAGCUAGUUGGUGGGGUAAAGGCCUACCAAGGCGACGAUCCGUAACUGGUCUGAGAGGAUGAUCAGUCACACUGGGACUGAGACACGGUCCAGACUCCGACGGGCGGCAGCAGUGGGGAAUAUUGGCCAAUGGGCGGAAGCCUGAUCCAGCCAUGCCGCGUGUGUGAAGAAGGUCUUCGGAUUGUAAAGCACUUUAAGUUGGGAGGAAGGGCAGUAAGUUAAUACCUUGCUGUUUUGACGUUACCAACAGAAUAAGCACCGGCUAACUUCGUG
rnacentral:rRNA from 1 species